GACGAACGCUGGCGGCGUGCCUAAUACAUGCAAGUAGAACGCUGAAGGAGGAGCUUGCUUCUCCGGAUGAGUUGCGAACGGGUGAGUAACGCGUAGGUAACCUGCCUGGUAGCGGGGGAUAACUAUUGGAAACGAUAGCUAAUACCGCAUAAGAGUAGAUGUCGCAUGACAUUUGCUUAAAAGGUGCAACUGCACCACUACCAGAUGGACCUGCGUUGUAUUAGCUAGUUGGUGAGGUAACGGCUCACCAAGGCAACGAUACAUAGCCGACCUGAGAGGGGGAUCCGCCACACUGGGACUGAGACACGGCCCAGACUCCUACGGGAGGCAGCAGGAGGGAAUCUUCGGCAAUGGACGGAAGUCUGACCGAGCAACGCCGCGUGAGUGAAGAAGGUUUUCGGAUCGUAAAGCUCUGUUGUAAGAGAAGAAAGAGUGUGAGAGUGGAAAGUUCACACUGUGACGGUAUCUUACCAGAAAGGGACGGCUAACUACGUG
rnacentral:rRNA from 1 species